AUGAACGCUGACGGCGUGCUUAACACAUGCAAGUCGAACGAUGAAGCCCAGCUUGCUGGGUGGAUUAGUGGCGAACGGGUGAGUAACACGUGAGUAACCUGCCCUUAACUCUGGGAUAAGCCUGGGAAACUGGGUCUAAUACCGGAUAGGAGCGUCCACCGCAUGGUGGGUGUUGGAAAGAUUUAUCGGUUUUGGAUGGACUCGCGGCCUAUCAGCUUGUUGGUGAGGUAAUGGCUCACCAAGGCGACGACGGGUAGCCGGCCUGAGAGGGUGACCGGCCACACUGGGACUGAGACACGGCCCAGACUCCUACGGGAGGCAGCAGUGGGGAAUAUUGCACAAUGGGCGAAAGCCUGAUGCAGCGACGCCGCGUGAGGGAUGACGGCCUUCGGGUUGUAAACCUCUUUCAGUAGGGAAGAAGCGAAAGUGACGGUACCUGCAGAAGAAGCACCGGCUAACUACGUG
rnacentral:rRNA from 1 species